CAUCCUUCCAGCCCUUGGAUAAAUCCCACUGAUCAGGGUAAAUGAUUAUUUUAGUGUGCUAUUGAGUUCAGUUUGCUAGUAUUUUGUUGAAGACUUUUGCAUCUAAGUUCAUCAGGAAUAUCGACCUGUAAUUUUCUUUCCUUGUUGAGUCACUGCUAGGUUUUGGUAUA